rnacentral:rRNA from 1 species
CGCAUCUGUGCAUGCAGCAUAUCAAUAAGCGGAGGAAAAGAAACUAACAAAGGAUUCCCUCAGUAACAGGCGAGUGAAGCGGGAAGAGCUCAAAUUUGAAAUCUUGAAAGGUCACCUUUCACGAAUUGUAGUUUAAAGAAGUGUUUUCUGUUGACGAUCUGGUAAUAUAAGUUCUUUGGAAUAGGACAUCACAGAGGGUGAGAAUCCCGUCUAUGAUUGCGAUUUGUAGCUUUGUGAUACACUUUCAAAGAGUCGGGUUGUUUGGGAAUGCAGCCCAAAACGGGAGGUAAAUUUCUUCUAAGGCUAAAUAUUGGCGAGAGACCGAUAGCGAACAAGUACCGUGAGGGAAAGAUGAAAAGAACUUUGAAAAGAGAGUUAAAUAGUACGUGAAAUUGUCAAAAGGGAAGCGUUUAACACCAGUGUUGUUUUCUGAAAAUCAACCUCUGUUAGCUUUAUGCAUGUUUGUUUAGACCUAAUCAGCUAUCUUGCAUGUUCUAUUGUUUGCAGUGGUGCACUUUUCAGUUUACAGGUCAACAUCAGUUUUUUUUACCGUAAAAAAGUUAAAGAAAGGUAGCUCAUGGCUCCGGUCGUGAGUGUUAUAGUCUUUUUCCUAUGCGGUAGGAGAGACUGAGGUCUGCAGUGUAGGCUAUUUGGCUAGAUACUCAGGUGCUAUGUGAUACCAUUUCAUAAACAACUUGUUGAUUAUGUUUUGUCUAUUGCAUACUCGCUUGUACUAUCAUACCUACGCUUAGGAUGUUGAAGUCAUCGUAUCGCGC